rnacentral:rRNA from 1 species
UACGUAGGGUGCGAGCGUUAAUCGGAAUACUGGGCGUAAAGCGUGCGCAGGCGGUUUGUUAAGACAGAUGUGAAAUCCCCGGGCUUAACCUGGGAACUGCAUUUGUGACUGGCAAGCUAGAGUAUGGCAGAGGGGGGUAGAAUUCCACGUGUAGCAGUGAAAUGCGUAGAGAUGUGGAGGAAUACCGAUGGCGAAGGCAGCCCCCUGGGCCAAGAUUGACGCUCAUGCGACGAAAGCGUGGGGAGCAAACAGG